CAGAUGAGGGUCAGGCAGGAAUCGGUGGUCAAUGACAGGCAAGAUUGGCAAAACACGGUAACGGUACGAGAACGCUGGAAAGUGGUGCUAGGACUCAACAAUCUGGCAUCUGACUGCUGGCUGAGGUGGUGCUUAAAUACUGGGUGUGAUUACUAAUUAUUGACAGGUGUGCAUGGUGAACCGGGAUGACAGAAAACAGCUGAGGUGAAACAGGAAGUCCUUUCAACAUAAAACAGGAACUGACAUAAAUCGUGACACACUCCAGUCACAGACAAAAGAAGAAGUCACGCACUGCGCAGUCUACCAUAGGAGGUGGCGCUAAUGCACCUUUCAGUUGGUUGCCACCCGCCAUUUAAAAGACAAAAGAAGAAGUCACUCAGGUUGAAGAAGCGCCCUGUUCCUCAAGACGUUAUCCACCUGCUGCUUCCCCAAACGCUGACGCAUGCCAGCUACCGAAACGCGAGGAGGUUGCUUCUCAAACUGACACGCGGCUACCUUGUAGAAGAGUAUUAGAGUGCUCGCCUCAGGAGCAAAGAGUGGUGUCAAGGAAAACAGCUGCAUCCUCCAUCUGUACAGCAGCUGCACUGCUUCCGAUGUCUUCCAACACGUGAAGACAAAAAAGAUCCUCACAUCUCCCCAGCCAACUGCCCAUGACUGUACCUGUUCCACUCCAGAAACUUUGCUUUC